CAACUUGAGAGUUUGAUCCUGGCUCAGAGCGAACGCUGGCGGCAGGCUUAACACAUGCAAGUCGAACGCCCGGGCAACCGGGAGUGGCAGACGGGUGAGUAACGCGUGGGAACAUGCCCUUUGGUUCGGAAUAACUCAGGGAAACUUGAGCUAAUACCGGAUAAGCCCUUAUGGGGAAAGAUUUAUCGCCGAAGGAUUGGCCCGCGUCCGAUUAGCUAGUUGGUGAGGUAAUGGCUCACCAAGGCGACG
rnacentral:rRNA from 1 species